rfam:Cucumis melo, WGS project CAJI01000000 data, contig: 04765
GUCCCUGGACAUCUGAUAAAAAUUGAAUGGAGUGGAGAAGAUUAGCAUGACCUCUGUGCAAGGAUGACACACACAAAUGGAGAAAAUGAAAGUAUUGAU